rnacentral:rRNA from 1 species
GACGAACGCUGGCGGCGUGCUUAACACAUGCAAGUCGAACGGUAAGGCCCUUCGGGGUACACGAGUGGCGAACGGGUGAGUAACACGUGGGUGAUCUGCCCUGCACUUCGGGAUAAGCCUGGGCAACUGGGUCUAAUACCGGACAGGACCACUGCCUGCAUGGGUGGUGGUGGAAAGCUUUUGCGGUGUGGGAUGGGCCCGCGGCCUAUCAGCUUGUUGGUGGGGUGAUGGCCUACCAAGGCGACGACGGGUAGCCGGCCUGAGAGGGUGACCGGCCACACUGGGACUGAGAUACGGCCCAGACUCCUACGGGAGGCAGCAGUGGGGAAUAUUGCACAAUGGGCGCAAGCCUGAUGCAGCGACGCCGCGUGAGGGAUGACGGCCUUCGGGUUGUAAACCUCUUUCAGCACCGACGAAGCGCAAGUGACGGUAGGUGCAGAAGAAGGACCGGCCAACUACGUGCCAGCCGCCGCGGUAA